rnacentral:rRNA from 1 species
UACGAAGGGUGCAAGCGUUACUCGGAAUUACUGGGGCGUAAAGCGUGCGUAGGUGGUUUGUUAAGUCUGAUGUGAAAGCCCUGGGCUCAACCUGGGAACUGCAUUGGAUACUGGCUUACUAGAGUGCGGUAGAGGGGUGUGGAAUUCCGGUGUAGCAGUGAAAUGCGUAGAUAUCGUAAGGAAGACCAGUGGCGAAGGCGAGUCUCUGGACAGUUACUGACGCUGAGGCACGAAGGCCAGGGAGCAAACGGG